CCCCUCCCUUCUUUAAUUCAUAAAAAAGUCCCUACGGCAAAGCUUUUGUCCACACUAGGUACAAAUGAUAGGCAAUUGCCUAAGGUUGCCUGGACCAAAGACCCAGGUGGGUAAAGUUACGGAACUUUUUUAAUUGAGGUCCAAAGUUGGGGUAGGGUGAACCAACCCCCUCCCUUCUUUAAUUCAUAAAAAAGUCCCUACGGCAAAGCUUUUGUCCACACUAGGUACAAAUGAUAGGCAAUUGCCCAAGGUUGCCUGGACCCAAAGACCCAGGUGGGUAAAGUUACGGAACUUUUUUAAUUGAGGUCCAAAGUUGGGGUAGGGUGACCCAACCCCCUCCCUUCUUUAAUUCAUAAAAAAGUCCCUACGGCAAAGCUUUUGUCCACACUAGGUACAAAUGAUAGGCAAUUGCCCAAGGUUGCCUGGACCCAAAGACCCAGGUGGGUAAAGUUACGGAACUUUUUUAAUUGAGGUCCAAAGUUGGGGUAGGGUGACCCAACCCCCUCCCUUCUUUAAUUCAUAAAAAAGUCCCUACGGCAAAACUUUUGUCCACACUAGGUACAAAUGAUAGGCAAUUGCCUAAGGUUGCCUGGACCCAAAGACCCAGGUGGGUAAAGUUACGGAACUUUUUUAAUUGAGGUCCAAAGUUGGGGGUAUGUCACCUUUUUAAUUUAAUUCAUAAAAAAAGUUGCGCACCAUACAUUGAUAGAUAAUAUAGUUCUCAAGCCUUUAACAAAAAGAAAAACGAAAUCCGCUUUUUCAAGAAAAAAUCA